AGCAGCCGCGGUAAUUCCAGCUCCAAUAGCGUAUAUUAAAGUUGUUGCAGUUAAAAAGCUCGUAGUUGAAUUUUAGGCCUGACCGGACGGUCCGUCUCUGGCGAGUACUGUUCUGUUGUCGGGUCUAUCCUUCUGGUGAGUCGGUAUGCCCUUUAUUGGGUGUGUCGGGGAACCAGGACCAUUACCUUGAAAAAAUUAGAGUGUUUAAAGCGGGCUUUUGCUUGAAUAGAUUAGCAUGGAAUAAUAGAAUAGGACGUUGGUUCUAUUUUGUUGGUCUAGGACCACCGUAAUGAUUAAUAGGGAUAGUUGGGGGCAUUAGUAUUCAAUUGUCAGAGGUGAAAUUCUUGGAUUUAUUGAAGACUAACUACUGCGAAAGCAUUUGCCAAGGAUGUUUUCAUUAAUCAAGAACGAAAGUUAGGGGAUCGAAGACGAUCAGAUACCGUCGUAGUCUUAACCAUAAACUAUGCCGACUAGGAAUCGGGCGACGUUAUUUUCAUGACUCGCUCGGCGCCUUAUG
rnacentral:rRNA from 1 species